rnacentral:rRNA from 1 species
GUUAGGAAUAUUCGUCAAUGGGGGAAACCCUGAACGAGCAAUGCCGCGUGAGCGAUGAAGGUUCUUUGAAUCGUAAAGCUCUGUUACGGAGGAAAAACAUCUUCUAUAGGUAAUGAUAGAAGCUUGAUGGUACUCCGUCAGAAAGCCCCGGCUAACUACGUGCCAGCAGCCGCGGUAAUACGUAGGGGGCGAGCGUUAUCCGGAUUUAUUGGGCGUAAAGCGUGUGUAGGUGGUUUGUUAAGUGUAAGAUUAAAGCCCGAGGCUCAACCUCGGUUCGUCUUACAAACUGGCUUACUUGAGUGUGGUAGAGGCAAGUGGAAUUUCUAGUGUAGCGGUUAAAUGCGUAGAUAUUAGAAGGAACACCAGUGGCGAAGGCGACUUGCUAGGCCAUUACUGACACUGAGACACGAAAGCGUGGGGAGCAAAUAGGAUUAGAAACCCUUGUAGUCC